rnacentral:misc_RNA from 1 species
GAAAUGCGAUAACUAGUGUGAAUUGCAGAAUUCCGUGAAUCAUCGAGUCUUUGAACGCACAUUGCGCCCCCUGGUAUUCCGGGGGGCAUGCCUGUCCGAGCGUCAUUGCUGCCCAUCAAGCACGGCUUGUGUGUUGGGUCGUCGUCCCCUCUCCGGGGGGGACGGGCCCCAAAGGCAGCGGCGGCACCGCGUCCGAUCCUCGAGCGUAUGGGGCUUUGUCACCCGCUCUGUAGGCCCGGCCGGCGCUUGCCGAACGCAAAUCAAUCUUUUUCCAGGUUGACCUCGGGUCAGGUAGGGAUACCCGCUGAACUUAAGC